GACGAACGCUGGCGGCGUGCCUAAUACAUGCAAGUUGAGCGCUGAAGGUUGGUCCUUGUACCAACUGGAUGAGCAGCGAACGGGUGAGUAACGCGUGGGGAAUCUGCCUUUGAGCGGGGGACAACAUUUGGAAACGAAUGCUAAUACCGCAUAAAAACUUUAAACACAAGUUUUAAGUUUGAAAGAUGCAAUUGCAUCACUCAAAGAUGAUCCCGCGUUGUAUUAGCUAGUUGGUGAGGUAAAGGCUCACCAAGGCGAUGAUACAUAGCCGACCUGAGAGGGUGAUCGGCCACAUUGAGACUGAGACACGGCCCAAACUCCUACGGGAGGCAGCAGUAGGGAAUCUUCGGCAAUGGACGAAAGUCUGACCGAGCAACGCCGCGUGAGUGAAGAAGGUUUUCGGAUCGUAAAACUCUGUUGGUAGAGAAGAACGUUGGUGAGAGUGGAAAGCUCAUCAAGUGACGGUAACUACCCAGAAAGGGACGGCGAACUACGU
rnacentral:rRNA from 1 species